ACUCCUAGUACCAAUGAGGUCCAAACAUUACAUGUAUGGACCUCAUAGGCGACAUCAGUGGAAAUGCGGGGUUAGAAAUCUUUGACUCACACUAUAUUUCGAUAUUAUUUGACAAGUACGCUCUCUGUAAACAAUUUUCUUUCAAAUUAUAAUUCAGAAUUGUUAAUAGUUUGAUCCCAACAACAAUGAAAUUAAAGAUAUUAAGGGAAACUUACAUUUUGACGACUUUUUCCUGAUUUUCUUGGCAGGUGCUCUUCCCUUCUGACGCACGAUCGCAGCUGAAUAUAGAUCAAGUGAUACGCGUUCUCGUCACCUGAUCGAAUCCUUCUCAAACUUCGAGCAGACCAAACAAGACUGGCCCUCGUCAUAGCCCCGAUGUGGAGAGCACAACCCUGGUUCCCUUCUCUUCUCCACAUGCUGGUUGCCCAACCCCUUCUUCUCCCAAUAAACUACGUCGCCCCAACAACUAUCCAGUAAGUCUGCACCUAGCCGCUUGGAUACUCUCGGCAGACAAUGGAAUGCAGCAGGCAUUUCAAAAUCAGCUGCCAACUUACUCGCCCGAUUUUGGAGACAAGGAACGUCUAAACAAUAUCAAUCUGCAUGGAAUCAAUGGUGUGAUUGGUGUUGUAAACAACAAAUUGAUCCCUGUUCACUUAACUUCCUUGCCCAUGAACAUUCUUCAGGCAAAGCUUAUUCCACAAUUAAUUCUUACAGAUCUGCUUUAUCUUCUGCCAUUCCACCCAUUGGGAUGCAUUCAGUGGGUCAACACCCUUAAGUCGUACGUUUAAUGGAAGGGAUAUUCAAUGAAAAUCCCCCUAAGCCUAGGUACAGUAGUAUGUGGGAUGUGUCAAUUGUUUUGAACUACAUUAAGUCUUUACCCGAUAAUGAACAAUUAACCCUAACACUGUUAAGUAAAAAACUUCUGGCCUUGAUGGCCCUUGUUUCCGCCCAGCGGGUUCAGACGUAAUUAUGUUUAGAUAUUUCCUCUUCUAUAUCAAAUAAUCAUGCGGUAUUCUACUUGACAGAGUUACAAAGGA
rnacentral:lncRNA from 1 species